CUGGCGGGCGUCCGACGGGUGAACGCCAGCCCCCGAGGCGCCCCAGGUACCUGUCGCUCGGAAUCUUCUGGCUGUCGCUGGCGCUGGCGUCUCCCCAGACCCCCAAGAGCCUGCAGGCCGGCUCCACCAGGCUCCCCUCGCCGCCCGCAUCAGAAGCCCGGCACUCACACCUCCCCGGGCCAUGGAGGCGGCCAUGACAGACGUCACGUGACCCGGGACUGGGCAUGCCCAGUGGCGGCCGCACGACCCAAGCGCCCACCAGGGGCCUGCAGGUAGCCAGGCUUCAAGGUCUGACCUAGACGAGGCUGCAAUCAUGGAAGGAACAGCUCUCCAGCGACAGAGACGGGAAUCAAAGAAGGGAGAGGACAGAGAUCAACAGGACACUGAGCCUGGUCUCCAAGAAGGGGAAGCCCAGCCUAAAGCCUCUGGGGAGAGCAAAACAGACGGGAACCAGGUCUGAUGCGCAGAGACAGACAGACGGGAGGGACCGGGUCUGGCACAUCCCCCGCUGUCUCCCUCGUGCUGGACGGGCAGCCGGUAUCAGAAACAUACUGGUUUGGAGAUUGA